rfam:Callithrix jacchus chromosome 2, whole genome shotgun sequence
UCCAGCAGUAGUCAGCCGUCCGGACAGAACCGUUCCUGUGAUGGUGUUACACUGCUGGGAGAGUAAUGUCUUGUCUUCAUCUGGUUGCCUCCACCACUGUUCUGGUGGCGUCUGGCACUGGUGCAAGACAGAGCUGUGCUUCCCUGAGAGUGUGCUAAGCAUUCACUUUGGCUGCUUAGUUCUAGUCUGGGAGCAGACAAA